UACAGAGGUCCCGAGCGUUGUUCGGAUUCACUGGGCGUAAAGGGUGCGUAGGCGGCGCGGUAAGUCGGAUGUGAAAUCUCGGAGCUUAACUUCGAAACUGCAUUCGAUACUGCCGUGCUUGAGGACUGGAGAGGAGACUGGAAUUUACGGUGUAGCGGUGAAAUGCGUAGAUAUCGUAAGGAAGACCCGUGGCGAAGGCGGGUCUCUGGACAGUUCCUGACGCUGAGGCACGAAGGUCAGGGGAGCAAACGGG
rnacentral:rRNA from 1 species